GCUUAAUAUCAGCAAUACCCUAAAAGCAACAGAUCCCAUUUGAUCUUGGAUGCUAAGCAGGGCAAUUUCUGGUUGGCACUUGAAUGGGAAACCCAAGGAAUACCAGUCACAGUAGCCU
rnacentral:rRNA from 11 species